CGCCUCUUGACCAUAAGAGGUCCAGCCUGCCCAGUGAAAUUAACGGCCGCGGUAUCCUAACCGUGCAAAGGUAGCAUAAUCACUCGUUUUUUAAAUAAAGACUAGUAUGAAUGGCACCACGAAAAUUAAACUGUCUCUUUUUUUUAAUCAGUGAAACUAAUCUUCCUGUGAAAAAGCAGGAAUAACCAUAUAAAAAAGACCCUGGAACUUUAAACUUUACUAGUAGUUUUCGGUUGGGGCGACCUUGGAGAACAAUUCACCCUCCAAAUUGACCUAAGCAAAAAGUCACAACUUUACGCAUCAAUAAAUUGACAUCCAUUGACCCAGUAAUCCUGAUCAACGAACCAAGCUACCCCAGGGAUAACAGCGCAAUCUUCUUCUAGAGCCCGUAUCGCCAAGAAGGUUUACGACCUCGAUGUUGGAUCAGGGUACCCAAGGAGUGCAGCCGCCCCUAAAGGUUCGUUUGUUCAACGAUUAA
rnacentral:rRNA from 1 species